GAAUAAUGUGUCAUAGUUGACCAUACAGUCACAAGUAUUCCUGACUAUAAUAGCAGUUGUGCUGUAAUUGCAUUUAGUUUGUGUUAGUACUGUACUGUAUGUUCGACAGAACCAUUCGUUGCACUUUGCUUUGCAACUGGAGCUGCUGUUGUUUGCCACUCAAGUUACUUCAGUGGGUCUGAGUCCCACAGAGGAAGAGACAUCUUGGUUCACUUCUUCCUCAAUUUUAGACCAUUUUUUUGCAAGAAAUGCAGGGAUUAAAAAGAGGAACCCAAAUACUGCUGCUGUCAUUGUAACUGCACGGAUAUUAACGCAACAGUCUCUUUCUUGACAACUUCUCAGACUGGUCUAAUAACGACAUUUACCCUUCAGUAUAGAGCAGCUACAGGCCGUCGUUUUCGCACACGAUGGUCACAAACAGCACACAGGCCCCUUCGGGUCCCCCUGACAUCCCGAGCUCGAGCUCGAGCUCGCUGGCACUGGCUGUGUCGCUGCCGCUCGUCUUCGUGCUGCUGGCAUCAGCCAUCGCCGCUGUGGUGUACACGUUGCGCUGUAAAUCGCGGCACAUUCCGCAGUUUGAGGAGGACAAGAAGGCUCAUGACAGCGCUCAGUACACGGCGAGCCCGCGGUACGAAACGAACGUGGCAACUCAGCCAGUCCGGCAGCCCCAGCAGCAGCAACAGCAGCCCAUCUACGAGAACGUGCACAGGGGCUCCACCGAGGGGGCGCGCGACACCGCGGAUCACGAAACGCAGCGCUGCCAGCAGCAGGAAAACCUGUACCUGCAGUGCGAGCCGCUGGACGAAGCCAUUUACAGCAACGACCCCUCUUACCCGGGCAACUCGGUUCACUUUGACCCCAGUGUCGAGGACGAGUACGUUGUGCCUGAUGUACUAUAAAGUACCACGGUGCACUCUUACAUUCCCUGUACUCCCUACAGUCGUCACUCUCAGAUUUCUCCAUGGAGCGUCAUGGAUGGAUGGUUGUAUGGAGGUUCUGUAAAAUUCAGCACAACAAAGGAAGGGGACAUUUUUUUUGCUCCGUGUUUAGGCCCUGCUUUUUUCACACGAACUGUUCGCUUUCGGAAGUUUCCCUCGUCUCAGUUAUAAGGAACUUAAGACUAUACAUAAUGUCCCGUUUGUAUGUUUUAGAGUGUCAUAGCAGCGGCGAGUUAUGUGUGAUUUACUUAACAUAAUUUCAUACGCAAUAAAUCCUCUCUAAGUCUUAUAUCUACCUUAAAU
rnacentral:lncRNA from 1 species